rnacentral:tRNA from 1 species
CUCGAGCUAGCUCAGUCGGUAGAGCAUGAGACUCUUAAUCUCACGGAUUUCCGUUCGAGC